AUUAACUCUCUUUACUAAACUCCACAGCAGUAAAGAAAAACGUAAAGAGUAACAAGUAAAUCACUGAGCAGCAUAGUAUAUAAGGGUCAUGCUGCCUGUACACUUCCUCUUUCUUGAAGCGACAUCCAAGUCCAGAUUGAGCUCGAACGUCCAGAAACUCAACGAAAAACUGCAACUGCGGUCUCUGGCGAGGGGAACUUGAGGAGACUUCUGGUAAACAAGGUUGGAGAUAAGACCAAACAAAGCCUUCCACCCAUCCUACGGAGUCGUGAGGUUAACAAACCAGCGACCAGUGGAGGUCCUGAAGAGGGUUACACUGAAAGGAGAGUAUAAAAUAGGUUAGGUAAUGAACCGUAACUGUUCACGCCUGUGGGCCUUAACAGAAUGGUGUAAAUUAAAUCAUUACAAACAGAGUGUAAACUGGCCAGUGGCUAAAUGUGUGUAGGUGUAAGCAUGUUGUACAACUAAAAUAUGUCCGCCUAGGUGGAAAUACUAGGGUGAGAGAUGGAAGAGAUUUCG